rnacentral:rRNA from 1 species
GAUCCUGGCUCAGAUUGAACGCUGGCGGCAUGCCUUACACAUGCAAGUCGAACGGUAACGGGCCUUCGGGUGCCGACGAGUGGCGAACGGGUGAGUAAUGCAUCGGAACGUACCUUUCAGUGGGGGAUAACGUAGCGAAAGUUACGCUAAUACCGCAUAUUCUGUGAGCAGGAAAGCAGGGGAUCGCAAGACCUUGCGCUGAUUGAGCGGCCGAUGUCAGAUUAGCUAGUUGGUGAGGUAAAGGCUCACCAAGGCGACGAUCUGUAGCGGGUCUGAGAGGAUGAUCCGCCACACUGGAACUGAGACACGGUCCAGACUCCUACGGGAGGCAGCAGUGGGGAAUUUUGGACAAUGGGGGCAACCCUGAUCCAGCCAUGCCGCGUGAGUGAAGAAGGCCUUCGGGUUGUAAAGCUCUUUCGGCCGGGAAGAAAUCGCAUGGGUUAAUACCCUGUGCGGAUGACGGUACCGGCAUAAGAAGCACCGGCUAACUACGUG